rnacentral:rRNA from 1 species
AUGCGCGGGCACAUUAAAAGCACCAAUUUCUCAUGGAUCACUGAAGUUAAGAACUGUUGCGCGUGAUUAGUAUCCCGAUGGGUGACCAUCUGGACAAUCGCGUACUGCUGACU